rnacentral:rRNA from 1 species
GAUGAACGCUGGCGGCGUGCCUAAUACAUGCAAGUCGAGCGAACAGAUAAGGAGCUUGCUCCUUUGACGUUAGCGGCGGACGGGUGAGUAACACGUGGGUAACCUACCUAUAAGACUGGGAUAACUUCGGGAAACCGGAGCUAAUACCGGAUAACAUUUGGAACCGCAUGGUUCUAAAGUGAAAGAUGGUUUUGCUAUCACUUAUAGAUGGACCCGCGCCGUAUUAGCUAGUUGGUAAGGUAACGGCUUACCAAGGCGACGAUACGUAGCCGACCUGAGAGGGUGAUCGGCCACACUGGAACUGAGACACGGUCCAGACUCCUACGGGAGGCAGCAGUAGGGAAUCUUCCGCAAUGGGCGAAAGCCUGACGGAGCAACGCCGCGUGAGUGAUGAAGGGUUUCGGCUCGUAAAACUCUGUUAUUAGGGAAGAACAAAUGUGGAAGUAAAUGUGCACGUCUUGACGGUACCUAAUCAGAAAGCCACGGCUAACUACGUG